rnacentral:misc_RNA from 1 species
AGGAGCAGGUGCAAGAGUUGCAAUCUUCAUCAGUUUCUGUUAUAAAAAGAUUGGAUGAUGUGAAUCCUGUGGGACUAGGAAGGCGUUCACGUCAAGUGUUUGAUGAAGUGUGGCGAAAGUUUUCAGGAUUAGGGCAAAUUUCGAGAACAAUUCGUUCUGAUGAUGAGAGUACUUUGCUUAUUAGAGAAGGUGGACCCAUGUGUGAAUUUGCUAUACCUGGUGCUCAGAAUACUACUGUGCUUGUUGUUGGUGCUACUAGCCGUGUUGGUAGAAUUGUUGUCCGCAAACUUAUGCUUAGGGGUUACACUGUCAAGGCUCUAGUAAGGAAAGCUGAACCGGAAGUGGUUGACAUGCUACCAAGGUCUGUGGAGCUAGUGACAGGCGAUGUUGGUGAU